UCUCCAGCUGCUUUUGGACUACAAUUCCCAUCAUCCUCAAUCACUGGUCUUGCUAGCUAGGGGUGAUGGGAGCUGUAGGCCAGAAACAGCUGGAGA